UACGAAGGGGCUAGCGUUGCUCGGAAUCACUGGGCGUAAAGCGCACGUAGGCGGAUUGCUAAGUCAGGGGUGAAAUCCUGGAGCUCAACUCCAGAACUGCCUUUGAUACUGGCGACCUUGAGUCCGGGAGAGGUGAGUGGAACUGCGAGUGUAGAGGUGAAAUUCGUAGAUAUUCGCAAGAACACCAGUGGCGAAGGCGGCUCACUGGCCCGAUACUGACGCUGAGGCACGAAAAGCGUGGGGAGCAAACAGGG
rnacentral:rRNA from 1 species